GAUGAACGCUGGCGGCGUGCUUAACACAUGCAAGUCGAGCGGAAAGGCCACUUCGGUGGUACUCGAGCGGCGAACGGGUGAGUAACACGUGAGUAAUCUGCCCCUGGCUUUGGGAUAGCCACCGGAAACGGUGAUUAAUACCGGAUAUGACCACUUCACGCAUGUGAUGGUGGUGGAAAGUUUUUCGGCCAGGGAUGUGCUCGCGGCCUAUCAGCUUGAUGGUGAGGUAAUGGCUCACCAUGGCUUCGACGGGUAGCCGGCCUGAGAGGGUGACCGGUCACACUGGGACUGAGACACGGCCCAGACUCCUACGGGAGGCAGCAGUGGGGAAUAUUGGACAAUGGGCGGAAGCCUGAUCCAGCAACGCCGCGUGAGGGAUGACGGCCUUCGGGUUGUAAACCUCUUUCGCCUGUGACGAAGCGCAAGUGACGGUAACAGGUAAAGAAGCACCGGCCAACUACGUGCCAGCAGCCGCCGCUGUAA
rnacentral:rRNA from 1 species